rnacentral:rRNA from 1 species
GUUAAGCAACGUUGGGCCUGGUUAGUACUUGGAUCGGAGGCGGCCUGGGAAUCCCAGGUGUUGUAGACAUUUU